rnacentral:lncRNA from 1 species
AUGGAACCACUAUUGUAUAUGUGGUCUGUUGUUGACCAAAACCAUUGUUAUAAGGGACAUGACUGUAUCUUCUUUGGUAAAGUGUCAGUUCAAAUCUUUUGCCCAUUCAUUGUCACAUGGCAGAGGAGCAGAAAAAAUGGAAGAGGCAAAUUUAAUCCCUUAAGCCCUUUUAUAAGGGCACUAAUCCCAUCUAUGAGGGCCUAAUCACUUCCUAAUGACCCACCUCUUAAUACUAUUACAUUGGGAAUUAAGUUUCAACAUGAAUUUUGGAGGGACACAAACAUUUCAACCAUAGCACUUGUCAUGUGGACCUCUCUAACAUGAAACUUGCUUCAUCAAAGUAUGCAAGCUGAGAAGACAAUAGAGACAAUCUGCUUGCAAGAUGGAAGUUACAAUCUUCUGUAAUUUAUUCACCAAAACAACCUCCUGUCACCUUUGCAAUAGUCCAUUGGUUAGUGGCAAAUCAAAGGUUCUGCCCACGCUCAAGGAGAGGAGAGAAGAGCAUGGACACCAGAAGAUAGACUUCAGUGCGGGACCAUGCUAGAGACUGCCUACCAUACCAUCCUU